AGUGAACGCUGGCGGCGUGCCUAACACAUGCAAGUCGAACGAUGAUAGGAAGCUUGCUUCCUUGAUUAGUGGCGCACGGGUGAGUAUACCAUAGAUAAUGUACCUCUUAGUUUGGGAUAGCCACUGGAAACGGUGAUUAAUACCAGAUACUCCUUCUCAUUAUAAGAUGAGUCGGGAAAGUUUUUUCGCUAAGAGAUCAGUCUAUGUCCUAUCAGCUAGUUGGUGAGGUAAUGGCUCACCAAGGCUAUGACGGGUAUCUGGUUUGAGAGGAUGAUCAGCCACACGGGAACUGAGACACGGUCCCGACUCCUACGGGAGCUG
rnacentral:rRNA from 1 species